GACGAACGCUGGCGGCGUGCUUAACACAUGCAAGUCGAACGGAAAGGCCCUGCUUUUGUGGGGUGCUCGAGUGGCGAACGGGUGAGUAACACGUGAGUAACCUGCCCUUGACUUUGGGAUAACUUCAGGAAACUGGGGCUAAUAUCGGAUAGGAGCUCCUGCAGCAUGGUGGGGGUUGGAAAGUUUCGGCGGUUGGGGAUGGACUCGCGGCUUAUCAGCUUGCUGGUGGGGUAGUGGCUUACCCAGGCUUUCACGGGUAGCCGGCCUGAGAGGGUGACCGGCCACAUUGGGACUGAGAUACGGCCCAGACUCCUACGGGAGGCAGCAGUGGGGAAGAUUGCACAAUGGGCGGAAGCCUGAUGCAGCAACGCCGCGUGCGGGAUAACGGCCUUCGGGUGGUAAACCACUUGCGCCUGUGACGAAGCGUGAGUGACGGUAAUGGGUAAAGAAGCACCGGCUAACUACGUG
rnacentral:rRNA from 1 species